rnacentral:rRNA from 1 species
UUGGGAUAACUUCAGGAAACUGGGGCUAAUACCGGAUAGGAGCUCCUGCUGCAUGGUGGGGGUUGGGAAAGUUUCGGCGGUUGGGGAUGGACUCGCGGCUUAUCAGCUUGUUGGUGGGGUAGUGGCUUACCAAGGCUUUGACGGGUAGCCGGCCUGAGAGGGUGACCGGCCACAUUGGGACUGAGAUACGGCCCAG